rnacentral:rRNA from 1 species
GACGAACGCUGGCGGCGUGCUUAACACAUGCAAGUCGAACGGAAAGGCCCUGCUUUUGUGGGGUGCUCGAGUGGCGAACGGGUGAGUAACACGUGAGUAACCUGCCCUUGACUUUGGGAUAACUUCAGGAAACUGGGGCUAAUACCGGAUAGGAGCUCCUGCUGCAUGGUGGGGGUUGGAAAGUUUCGGCGGUUGGGGAUGGACUCGCGGCUUAUCAGCUUGUUGGUGGGGUAGUGGCUUACCAAGGCUUUGACGGGUAGCCGGCCUGAGAGGGUGACCGGCCACAAUGGGACUGAGAGACGGAACAGACUCCUACGGGAGGCAGCAGUGGGGAAUAUUGCACAAUGGGCGGAAGCCUGAUGCAGAAACGCGGCGUGCGGGAUGACGGCCGUCGGGUUGUAAACCGCUUUCGACUGUGACGAAGCGUGAGUGACGGUAAUGGGUAAAGAAGCACCGGCUAACUACGUG